rnacentral:rRNA from 1 species
CGUAGGGCGGUAGCGUUGUCCGGAUUUAUUGGGCGUAAAGAGCUCGUAGGUGGUUCGGUAAGUCGGAUGUGAAAUCUCCAGGCUCAACCUGGAGGGGUCAUUCGAUACUGCCGUGACUAGAGUUCGGUAGAGGAGUGUGGAAUUCCUGGUGGAGCGGUGAAAUGCGCAGAGAUCAGGAGGAACACCGAUGGCGAAGGCAGGUCUCUGGGCCACUACUGACGCUGAGAAGCGAAAGCAUGGGGAGCGAACAGG